GACGAACGCUGGCGGCGUGCCUAAUUCAUGCAAGUCGAGCGAAGUUUUUCUGGUGCUUGCACUAGAAAAACUUAGCGGCGAACGGGUGAGUAACACGUAAAGAACCUGCCUCAUAGACUGGGACAACUAUUGGAAACGAUAGCUAAUACCGGAUAACAGUAUUUCUCGCAUGAGAGAUAUUUAAAAGUUGGUUAUGCUAACACUAUGAGAUGGCUUUGCGGUGCAUUAGCUAGUUGGUGGGGUAAAGGCCCACCAAGGCGACGAUGCAUAGCCGACCUGAGAGGGUGAUCGGCCACACUGGGACUGAGACACGGCCCAGACUCCUACGGGAGGCAGCAGUAGGGAAUCUUCCGCAAUGGGCGAAAGCCUGACGGAGCAACGCCGCGUGAGUGAAGAAGGAGUUCGGUUCGUAAAGCUCUGUUGUUAGGGAAGAAUGGAUAUGUAGUAACUAUACAUGUAAGAGACGGUACCUAACCAGAAAGCCACGGCUAACUACGUG
rnacentral:rRNA from 1 species